GGAGGCUAUAACUAGCCUCCUCCGAAAGACCUGAAAAAAAGCAAGGCAGGGAUAGAGGGGGAGGGGUUGACAGGAAUGGUUCUUAAGUGUAGGAUCAAACGGUUGACUCUUUCGGGGAGAAAAAAGCCCUGAAGAGAAAAAGAGCCUGUGGAAACGCAGGAAGGAAGUCUCGGAUCAUUGACAACUAAAUAGGAGCAGCAACGUCCAAUUAAAGGGCCCUGAUCACGAAACACAGUAACAAAAUGAAUCUGGAGAGUUUGAUCCUGGCUCAGAACGAACGCUGGCGGCGUGCCUUAACACAUGCAAGUCC
rnacentral:rRNA from 1 species